UACGGAGGGUCCGAGCGUUAAGCGGAAUUACUGGGCGUAAAGAGUGCGCAGGCGGUCUAGUAAGACAGGUGUGAAAUUCCCGGGCUUAACCGGGGAACUGCACUUGUGACUGCUAGGCUUGAGGACGGUAGGGGGGGACGGAAUUCCGGGUGUAGCAGUGAAAUGCGUAGAUAUCCGGAGGAACACCGAUGGCGAAGGCAGCCCACUGGGCCUGUACUGACGCUCAGGGACGAAAGCGUGGGGAGCAAACCGG
rnacentral:rRNA from 1 species